rnacentral:rRNA from 1 species
UACGUAGGGGGCAAGCGUUGUCCGGAAUCAUUGGGCGUAAAGAGCGUGUAGGCGGUUCAGUAAGUCUGCUGUGAAAGUCCAGGGCUCAACCCUGGGAUGCCGGUGGAUACUGCUGGGCUAGAGUACGGAAGAGGCGAGUGGAAUUCCCGGUGUAGCGGUGAAAUGCGCAGAUAUCGGGAGGAACACCUAUUGCGAAGGCAGCUCGCUGGGACGUUACUGACGCUGAGGAGCGAAAGCGUGGGGAGCAAACAGG